UACGUAGGGUGCGAGCGUUAAUCGGAAUUACUGGGCGUAAAGCGUGCGCAGGCGGUGAUGUAAGACAGGUGUGAAAUCCCCGGGCUUAACCUGGGAACUGCAUUUGUGACUGCGUCGCUGGAGUGCGGCAGAGGGGGAUGGAAUUCCGCGUGUAGCAGUGAAAUGCGUAGAUAUGCGGAGGAACACCGAUGGCGAAGGCAAUCCCCUGGGCCUGCACUGACGCUCAUGCACGAAAGCGUGGGGAGCAAACAGG
rnacentral:rRNA from 1 species